rnacentral:lncRNA from 1 species
UGAAGGGAGGUCCAGCCUAUGGGCUGCUGCUGGGCCUCGUUCGGGACAGGACCACGUGGGCCAUCUGACCAGGGCCAGGGAAACAGAAGAGAGCACCUCAGCCUCUAGAACAACAGCCUGAAGAGAGAAGCAAACUCUCCGACUCGCAGUUGGUAAACAGAGCUGAGUCCUUAAAGCCAGAGGCUCGCUUCCCCAGCCCUUCUGAAAUGGAAAGACAGGCUUAGUUCAGCCAAGCUUCCAACCAAGAACCCAAACCUUUUC